AUUUUAUUUACAGUUUUGUACACUGUCUUAAUAUGAAUGGGACCGCUUUUCUACUUGAGCCAUUUUAACCAAAGCAAAAUAACCUAAGUAAUACAAAGUGUUAAAAUACAGCAUAAGAUACAAAAACAGACAUACUAUUUCUAGUAAGGAAUGUAAAUUAUGGUGUUACAUUAAAAAAAAAUCCACAAUUAUGAUUAGGAAAUCACACAAACAGAUCACUGAAUUUGACUGAAAUGCAUAAAUUUGUAUCAAAGCUUCGAUGUUAAAAAAACAAAAAAUUACCAAAGAAUGCACAAAAUUAAUGUUUAUUCCACCUUUGUCAUAUUCCCAGAUUCUUCACCAAUGUUACAUGAGCAAAAACAACUGAAAUCAAUAUAUCACUAAUGUUAUCAAAUAGGGAAAACAAAUAAAUUAAUCUAGCAGCCAUCAGCAUAGGUUACAGCAAAGGUGAUGCUGUAUAAAAAAAUUGCUAGAAAACUGUAUGCACCAUACUCUUUUCCAAACCAGCAAAAUGUUACUGCAUACAAUGCAAAUGUAAAACAGAGUAAUUUCCUGCAGGUACAGAAAUGCAACUUUUCUGAAUACUGUGGAUAAACAAAUGUUUUUUUGUAAUAGUAAUGUUUCUAUCAAGCUAUUACAGAGUGGGCCAGGAAAACAUUUAUGACUCAGGGGGGUGUACUAAAAUUCUGAUUGGUAAUGGUUACUUCAGCCAAAAUAGAAAAAAAAAUGAACACAGAAGUACAAGACAAAGGCGAAUUAGACUUCUCACAAAUCUUAGCAACAUUUAGAUGGAAAUCAAAUUUAAAUGUAGUCCACUCUGCUUUUGAAGAGGCUUUGGUUCAGCUCCCAAAUCUCGAUUGCUUGACGCAGUCUCCUAUGAAAGAAUACUCAGAAGGUGUCUUCUUAAACAACAAACCUAUUUUUAGUGGUGGAGCCGCUCUUAGUAGCUGUGUCUGCAUGGGACUGAUAACCAAUCACUAUCUUUGGAGGAAGUCCUAAUCUUUCCUUGUAUACUCUCCCUAUAUGCGUAACAGCAUCCCUGUUUUCACAUUCAGUUGUCCAUAUUGCUAUUUUAUCACCUUUAGUUCUAACAUUAACAACAGCACCACAUACAUCAUCGCUGUAGUCAUCAAAUGACUCCCCAAUAAGGCACAGCAGUGUCUCUAGCCAGAAGCGAUCAAGGUCACUUCGUCUCUGCUGUUUGGUUAGUGUAAUUAGCCAUCGGCCUCCUCGCUUGUUUUUCUCAUCUUCCCACAUGGGUUCAAUCCCAUCCUUAAACAGCGAGUAGUCACAACCAGGCAUUAAAUUACUAGAGAGCUGGAUAUGGUUGUAUAAAGCCCAAAAAUCUUCAACAGUAUCAAACUUGGAAAUCAGACGAAGAUUUGCUUGCCAAGUUUUGCUCUUGUCAUUUUUAAAAAACCAGAGCGCCCAUCUGUUUUGUAGUGGAUGCUUAAUAUACUGUUCAGGGCUGGCAACCUCCUGAGUAGGCGCUGGCUCGGUUUUCUCCUCUUCUGAAGGUUGAGGGUUGGGAGUGGUUUCCGGUUCCACGGUCGCCAUCUUAGCUCGGUCUGGCCGCACCAGCGCCGCGGGGAGGGGAAGGGGCGGGUGGGAAAAAAAA
rnacentral:lncRNA from 1 species